rnacentral:rRNA from 1 species
GUCGGGAAUAUUGCCCAAUGGCCGAAAGGCUGAGGCAGCAACGCCGCGUGCGCGAUGAAGGCCUUCGGGUCGUAAAGCGCUUUUCGGGUGGAUGAGACAGGACAGUACACCCGGAAUAAGGUACGGCUAACUACGUGCCAGCAGCCGCGGUAAAACGUAGGUACCGAGCGUUAUCCGGAUUUACUGGGCGUAAAGCGCGUUCAGGCGGUUUGACAAGUCGGGCAUGAAAUCUCUCGGCUCAACCGGGAGAGGUUGUCCGAUACUGUCAGACUUGAGGGCAGUAGAGGGUGGUGGAAUUCCGGGUGUAGUGGUGAAAUGCGUAGAUAUCCGGAGGAACACCAGUGGCGAAAGCGGCCACCUGGACUGUACCUGACGCUCAAACGCGAAAGCUAGGGGAGCGAACGGGAUUAGAUACCCUGGUAGUCC